CACGUAGGGGGCAAGCGUUGUCCGGAUUUAUUGGGCGUAAAGAGCUCGUAGGCGGUUCGGUAAGUCGGGUGUGAAACCUCCAGGCUCAACCUGGAGACGCCACCCGAUACUGCUGUGACUAGAGUCCGGUAGAGGAGCGUGGAAUUCCUGGUGUAGCGGUGAAAUGCGCAGAUAUCAGGAGGAACACCAGCGGCGAAGGCGGCGCUCUGGGCCGGAACUGACGCUGAGGAGCGAAAGCGUGGGGAGCAAACAGG
rnacentral:rRNA from 1 species